rnacentral:rRNA from 1 species
GAGGGAAAAGGAGCAAUCCGCUUUGAGAUGGCCUCGCGUCCGAUUAGCUAGUUGGUGAGGUAACGGCCCACCAAGGCGACGAUCGGUAGCCGGACUGAGAGGUUGAACGGCCACAUUGGGACUGAGACACGGCCCAGACUCCUACGGGAGGCAGCAGUGGGGAAUAUUGCACAAUGGGGGAAACCCUGAUGCAGCGACGCCGCGUGGAGGAAGAAGGUCUUCGGAUUGUAAACUCCUGUUGUUGAGGAAGAUAAUGACGGUACUCAACAAGGAAGUGACGGCUAACUACGUGCCAGCAGCCGCGGUAAAACGUAGGUCACAAGCGUUGUCCGGAAUUACUGGGUGUAAAGGGAGCGCAGGCGGGAAGACAAGUUGGAAGUGAAAUCUAUGGGCUCAACCCAUAAACUGCUUUCAAAACUGUUUUUCUUGAGUAGUGCAGAGGUAGGCGGAAUUCCCGGUGUAGCGGUGGAAUGCGUAGAUAUCGGGAGGAACACCAGUGGCGAAGGCGGCCUACUGGGCACCAACUGACGCUGAGGCUCGAAAGUGUGGGUAGCAAACAGGAUUAGAUACCCUGGUAGUCCACACCGUAAACGAUGAUUACUAGGUGUUGGAGGAUUGACCCCUUCAGUGCCGCAGUUAACACAAUAAGUAAUCCACCUGGGGAGUACGACCGCAAGGUUGAAACUCAAAGGAAUUGACGGGGGCCCGCACAAGCAGUGGAGUAUGUGGUUUAAUUCGACGCAACGCGAAGAACCUUACCAAGUCUUGACAUCCUGCGACGGACAUAGAAAUAUGUCUUUCCUUCGGGACGCAGAGACAGGUGGUGCAUGGUUGUCGUCAGCUCGUGUCGUGAG